ACCUGGUUGAUUCUGCCAGUAGUCAUAUGCUUGUCUCAAAGAUUAAGCCAUGCAUGUCUAAGUAUACGCAAAUUAUACUGUGAAACUGCGAAUGGCUCAUUAAAUCAGUUAUAGUUUAUUUGAUGUUUCUUGCUACAUGGAUAACUGUGGUAAUUCUAGAGCUAAUACAUGCGUAAAAAGCCCCGACUUCUGGAAGGGGUGUAUUUAUUAGAUAAAAACCAUCCUCCUCGGAGUUUGGUGAUUCAUAAUAACUUCUCGAAUCGCACGGCCUUGUGCUGGCGAUGCUUCAUUCAAAUAUCUGCCCUAUCAACUGUCGAUGGUAGGAUAGAGGCCUACCAUGGUUGCAACGGGUAACGGGGAAUAAGGGUUCGAUUCCGGAGAGGGAGCCUGAGAAACGGCUACCACAUCCAAGGAAGGCAGCAGGCGCGCAAAUUACCCAAUCCCGACACGGGGAGGUAGUGACAAUAAAUAACAAUGCAGGGCCCUUUUGGGUCUUGUAAUUGGAAUGAGUACAAUUUAAAUCCCUUAACGAGGAACGAUUGGAGGGCAAGUCUGGUGCCAGCAGCCGCGGUAAUUCCAGCUCCAAUAGCGUAUAUUAAAGUUCCCUUCGGGGCCUAUGAUCAUAAAGUACAAAUAUCAUAGGAAAGUAGUGACCUUGCCGUGGUCCGAAGGGCUUAAGCGUUAAAAGCGCAACAAACAACUACUAUCGUACAUUGAAACCAAAAGGUAGCCGGACUUUAGAUCAGACCUAAACCCUCUGAUUUUCAGGAUGGCACCUCAAACUUGCGGGUCUGCUAACGCAGAGCCCCAAAAAGCCUCGUUGGUUGCUGAAACCUCGAACAGAUUGGAUUCCUUUCCAAAGAGUUCGGCAGCGCCUCCGAGCAUCAACAGACGGCGAAGGAGGAGGCCAAGUCAGCUGGCGAAGAUUGCGAAAGCAGCAUCUGGUGAGGAAAGUGCAGCUCCGGUCGAAGACCUGAGUGGUGCCGAAUCAUCAGAUGAAUCUUCAAUAAAUGAUGGUGAUGUUAACUCAUUGCCCGGUUCCGAUUCCUCGAUGCCAGAAUAUGAGAAAGGCUUGUCCAACUCAACGGACAAUGACCUAACAAAAUCUGCGGAUGGGUUGGCUUUGGCAGAAGUUGAUGAGGAGAUCCUAAUGGACGCUCCCGCGGCUUCUACCCCCAUUGCCAGUGCAUUUGCAAUCAAACUCAAGUCGGGUCUGCCCUCUGCGGAUCUUUCGGUCCAUGAGCCGGUGAAUUGGUCUUCUGAAAAGGAGACUGAGGAAGCCCUCAAGGCCCGAAAGGCGCGGAGAAAAGAGGCCUGCAAAAAUAAACAGAAGGUAGCAGCAGCAGCCCGAAAGGAUGAGCUUGAAAAGGCUCGCCUUGAUGGGAA